UACGUAGGGCGCAAGCGUUGUCCGGAAUUAUUGGGCGUAAAGAGCUCGUAGGCGGCUUGUCACGUCGGGUGUGAAAGCCCGGGGCUUAACCCCGGGUCUGCAUUCGAUACGGGCUAGCUAGAGUGUGGUAGGGGAGAUCGGAAUUCCUGGUGUAGCGGUGAAAUGCGUAGAUAUCUGGAGGAACACCGGUGGCGAAGGCGCCUCACUGGCCGGUAACUGACACUGAGCUGCGAAAGCAAGGGGAGCAAACAGG
rnacentral:rRNA from 1 species